GAUGAAGAACGCAGCAAAGCGCGAAAUGUAAUGUGAAUUGCAGAAUUCAGUGAAUCAUCGAAUCUUUGAACGCAUCUUGCGCUCUUGGGUUAUUCCUAAGAGCAUGCUUGUUGGAGUAACGGAAAAGCUCAACCCCGCUUUAUUUUAUUAUAAAGUAGACUUUGGGUUUGGAUCAUGAUGUUUUGUCGCUUUGAAUAAGAACGACUGCAUUGAAAUAUAAGAAGCUGAACUCGUUUGAAGUGAUUUAAAAAGCAGGCUUCGGCUAACUAUUGUUGUAAACUUCGGUCCAAUAGUGUUGUUUUUUGCAUUUCAUCUUAAGACUGUAGGCUUAUAAAAAUGAUAUUUUAUUUUGCUUGUUCUCCAAUCAAGUAGGACUACCCGCUGAACUUAAGCAUAUCAAUAAGCGGAGGA
rnacentral:misc_RNA from 1 species